AACGAACGCUGGCGGCAUGCCUAACACAUGCAAGUCGAACGAUUGCCUUCGGGUGAUAGUGGCGCACGGGUGCGUAACGCGUGGGAAUCUGCCCUUAGGUUCGGAAUAACAGCUGGAAACGGCUGCUAAUACCGGAUGAUAUCGCGAGAUCAAAGAUUUAUCGCCUGAGGAUGAGCCCGCGUUGGAUUAGGUAGUUGGUGGGGUAAAGGCCUACCAAGCCGACGAUCCAUAGCUGGUCUGAGAGGAUGGUCAGCCACACUGGGACUGAGACACGGCCCAGACUCCUACGGGAGGCAGCAGUGGGGAAUAUUGGACAAUGGGCGCAAGCCUGAUCCAGCAAUGCCGCGUGAGUGAUGAAGGCCCUAGGGUUGUAAAGCUCUUUUACCCGGGAAGAUAAUGACUGUACCGGGAGAAUAAGCCCCGGCUAACUCCGUG
rnacentral:rRNA from 1 species